UACGGAGGGUGCAAGCGUUAUCCGGAUUCACUGGGUUUAAAGGGUGCGUAGGUGGGUUUGUAAGUCAGUGGUGAAAUCUCCGGGCUUAACUCGGAAACUGCCAUUGAUACUAUCUGUCUUGAAUAUUGUGGAGGUAAGCGGAAUAUGUCAUGUAGCGGUGAAAUGCUUAGAUAUGACAUAGAACACCUAUUGCGAAGGCAGCUUACUACGCAUAUAUUGACGCUGAGGCACGAAAGCGUGGGGAUCAAACAGGAUUAGAAACCCCA
rnacentral:rRNA from 1 species